rnacentral:rRNA from 1 species
GACAACCUGGUUGAUCCUGCCAGUAGUCAUAUGCUUGUCUCAAAGAUUAAGCCAUGCAUGUCUCAGUACAAGCCAAAAUAAGGUGAAACCGCGAAAGGCUCAUUAAAUCAGUUAUGGUUCCUUAGAUCGUACCAACAUUUACUUGGAUAACUGUGGUAAUUCUAGAGCUAAUACAUGCAAACAGAGCUUCGACCGGAGACGGAAGAGGCGCUUUUAUUAGAUCAAAACCAAUCGGCGGCGGGUUCGCUCGCGGGCUCGUCGUCGUUUUCACUGACGAAUCUGAAUAACUUUCUGCUGAUCGCACGGUCUCGCACCGGCGACGCAUCUUUCAAAUGUCUGCCUUAUCAACUGUCGAUGGUAGGUUCUGUGCCUACCAUGGUUGUAACGGGUAACGGGGAAUCAGGGUUCGAUUCCGGAGAGGGAGCCUGAGAAACGGCUACCACAUCCAAGGAAGGCAGCAGGCGCGCAAAUUACCCACUCCCGGCACGGGGAGGUAGUGACGAAAAAUAACGAUACGGGACUCAUCCGAGGCCCCGUAAUCGGAAUGAGAACAAUUUAAAUCCUUUAACGAGGAUCAAUUGGAGGGCAAGUCUGGUGCCAGCAGCCGCGGUAAUUCCAGCUCCAAUAGCGUAUAUUAAAGUUGUUGCGGUUAAAAAGCUCGUAGUCGAAUCUGUGUCCCGCGCCGCCGGUUCGUCGCUCGCGGCGUUUAACUGGCGUGUCCGCGGGACGUCCUGCCGGUGGGCUUAGCCUUUUCAUUAAGGCGGCCCAAUCUUAAUCCCGCCGCGGUGCUCUUCACCGAGUGUCGAGGCGGGCCGGCACGUUUACUUUGAACAAAUUAGAGUGCUUAAAGCAGGCUAAAACUUCGCCUGAAUACUUCGUGCAUGGAAUAAUGGAAUAGGACCUCGGUUCUAUUUUGUUGGUUUUCGGAACCCCGAGGUAAUGAUUAAUAGGAACGGAUGGGGGCAUUCGUAUUGCGACGUUAGAGGUGAAAUUCUUGGAUCGUCGCAAGACGGACAGAAGCGAAAGCAUUUGCCAAAAACGCUUUCAUCGAUCAAGAACGAAAGUUAGAGGUUCGAAGGCGAUCAGAUACCGCCCUAGUUCUAACCAUAAACUAUGCCAGCUAGCGAUCCGCCGAAGUUACUUCUAUGACUCGGCGGGCAGCUUCCGGGAAACCAAAGCUUUCGGGUUCCGGGGGAAGUAUGGUUGCAAAGCUGAAACUUAAAGGAAUUGACGGAAGGGCACCACCAGGAGUGGAGCCUGCGGCUUAAUUUGACUCAACACGGGAAACCUCACCAGGCCCGGACACCGGAAGGAUUGACAGAUUGAGAGCUCUUUCUUGAUUCGGUGGGUGGUGGUGCAUGGCCGUUCUUAGUUGGUGGAGCGAUUUGUCUGGUUAAUUCCGAUAACGAACGAGACUCA